GGGCCUAUGGCUUAAUGGAUAAAGCGCCGGUCUACGGAAUCGGAGAUUCCAGGUUCGAUCCCUGGCAUGCUCG
rnacentral:tRNA from 1 species